rnacentral:rRNA from 1 species
ACACAUGCAAGUCGAGGGGAAACGACAUCGAAAGCUUGCUUUUGAUGGGCGUCGACCGGCGCACGGGUGAGUAACGCGUAUCCAACCUGCCCACCACUUGGGGAUAACCUUGCGAAAGUAAGACUAAUACCCAAUGACGUCUCUAGAAGACAUCUGAAAGAGAUUAAAGAUUUAUCGGUGAUGGAUGGGGAUGCGUCUGAUUAGCUUGUUGGCGGGGUAACGGCCCACCAAGGCAACGAUCAGUAGGGGUUCUGAGAGGAAGGUCCCCCACAUUGGAACUGAGACACGGUCCAAACUCCUACGGGAGGCAGCAGUGAGGAAUAUUGGUCAAUGGACGAGAGUCUGAACCAGCCAAGUAGCGUGCAGGAUGACGGCCCUAUGGGUUGUAAACUGCUUUUAUAAGGGAAUAAAGUGAGUCUCGUGAGACUUUUUGCAUGUACCUUAUGAAUAAGGACCGGCUAAUUCCGUGCCAGCAGCCGCGGUAAUACGGAAGGUCCGGGCGUUAUCCGGAUUUAUUGGGUUUAAAGGGAGCGUAGGCCGGAGAUUAAGCGUGUUGUGAAAUGUAGACGCUCAACGUCUGCACUGCAGCGCGAACUGGUUUCCUUGAGUACGCACAAGGUGGGCGGAAUUCGUGGUGUAGCGGUGAAAUGCUUAGAUAUCACGAAGAACUCCGAUUGCGAAGGCAGCUCACUGGAGCGCAACUGACGCUGAAGCUCGAAAGUGCGGGUAUCGAACAGGAUUAGAUACCCUGGUAGUCCGCACGGUAAACGAUGGAUGCCCGCUGUUGGUCUGAAUAGGUCAGCGGCCAAGCGAAAGCAUUAAGCAUCCCACCUGGGGAGUACGCCGGCA